rnacentral:rRNA from 1 species
UACGUAGGGGGCUAGCGUUGUCCGGAUUUAUUGGGCGUAAAGAGCGUGUAGGCGGCCAGGUAGGUCUGGUGUGAAAACUCGAGGCUUAACCUCGAGAUGUCAUCGGAAACCAUCUGGCUAGAGUCCGGAAGAGGAGAGUGGAAUUCCUGGUGUAGCGGUGAAAUGCGCAGAUAUCAGGAAGAACACCAUGGCGAAAGCAGCUCUCUGGGACGGUACUGACGCUGAGACGCGAAAGCGUGGGGAGCGAACAGG